CACAAUAUUGUCAGUGAGAAUUAGCCAAUUAGCAAGCUCCUUGCCAUGCUACCAGCUCCUGGUCAAGCACUGGUCAAGCACGGAGUUCCAGUUCUGCUUUCCAUUGCUUGCAGUGACGCUCUGUCUAACCUCUCCCCUAGUUAUGACAGGACAGGGAGUUUUGGAGAUUUUGUGGUUUUGCUCUUCCUGUUCUGUGGAUUAAUUUAGCCUGUAUCUGAGGGGAUUUUGUACCAGUAUCUCUGAUUCACGUCUUCCCCUUGUCCAGGGUACACGGAUGUUUGUAGGGGAAAGGUCGGCUCCUAACUUUGCUGUUUCAAGCAGUUUGCAGUUAGCUAAGGCACAGCUUCCCUUUGAUUCAAAAUGGAUUUUAAAAUACUGUAAGCCCUGAUUAUGUGUGAGCAUAUAUGAAUAUAUUGAUUACUGAUAACUGA
rnacentral:lncRNA from 1 species